rnacentral:misc_RNA from 1 species
GAUCGGAGGAGAGUUCUUAUCCAAAAUCUCCCACUUAAAUUAAUACAUCAAGGAUCUGGAGGGAGUCCUUAUCCGAAUUCUCUUAACUAAAACCUGAAUUAAGACACCACAACUUUAAUACAUAAAGUAACCCUUAGACAAAAUUUGCCACCCAACACUUACUCACUAAGGGUCAUCUUAUGUACUCAUGUCCUUGAGCAGCCCUGAAUAGUGAAAUAUCAAAUAUUUCUUUUACCCUUAUGAAGGAAUAACAUUGCCACUCCAACCCCCAAAUUACCAAUUUCAAUUUAUAAAGAGCAUAAUGUUAAAUUUGCUUACCCUCGUUGAGGGACGAGACGAGGUGCCUAACACCUUCCCCGCCCG